UACGGGGGGGGCAAGCGUUGUUCGGAAUUACUGGGCGUAAAGGGCUUGUAGGUGGCCAACUAAGUCAGACGUGAAAUCCCUCAGCUUAACUCCGAAACUGCAUUCGAUACUGCCGUGCUUGAGGACUGGAGAGGAGACUGGAAUUUACGGUGUAGCGGUGAAAUGCGUAGAUAUCGUAAGGAAGACCAGUGGCGAAGGCGGGUCUCUGGACAGUUCCUGACGCUGAGGCACGAAGGUCAGGGGAGCAAACGGG
rnacentral:rRNA from 1 species